UACGAAGGGGGCUAGCGUUGCUCGGAAUGACUGGGCGUAAAGCGUGCGCAGGCGGUUUUGUAAGUUUGUCGUGAAAUCCCCGGGCUCAACCUGGGAAUGGCGAUGAAGACUGCAAGGCUAGAAUCUGGCAGAGGGGGGUAGAAUUCCACGUGUAGCAGUGAAAUGCGUAGAGAUGUGGAGGAACACCGAUGGCGAAGGCAGCCCCCUGGGUCAAGAUUGACGCUCAUGCACGAAAGCGUGGGGAGCAAACAGG
rnacentral:rRNA from 1 species